UCUACACUUUUAGGUGUAUUUCGUUCAAGAAAUUGCAAUAAAAUAGUCUGCCUAAGAUAAAUUGAAUUUUUUUGAAAAAUUUUUUUUGACGAAAAUCGCUUUAAUGGUCAUAAAAUUGGUGUUCCUCUACUCGGAUCGGGCUGUCAAUUUUUUUCUACACUUUUAGGUGUAUUUUGUGCAAGAAAUUGCAAUAAAAUAGUCCGCCUAAGAAAAAUUGAAUUUUUUUGGGAACUUUUUUAUUUUUUUGGAUUUAUGGGUUGGAUGACUUUUUGGUGGUAAUAGGUGUCUUCCUCUACUCGGAUUUGGCUGUCGAUUUUUUUCUACACUUUUAGGUGUAUUUUGUGCAAGAAGUUGCAAUAAAAUAGUCCGCCUAAGAAAAAUUGAAUUUUUUUGGGAACUUUUUUAUUUUUUUGGAUUUAUGGGUUGGAUGACUUUUUGGUGGUAAUAGGUGUCUUCCUCUACUCGGAUUUGGCUGUCGAUUUUUUUCUACACUUUUAGGUGUAUUUUGUGCAAGAAAUUGCAAUAAAAUAGUCCGCCUAAGAAAAAUUGAAUUUUUUUGGGAACUUUUUUAUUUUUUUGGAUUUAUGGGUUGGAUGACUUUUUGGUGGUAAUAGGUGUCUUCCUCUACUCGGAUUUGGCUGUCGAUUUUUUUCUACACUUUUAGGUGUAUUUUGUGCAAGAAAUUGCAAUAAAAUAGUCCGCCUAAGAAAAAUUGAAUUUUUUUGGGAACUUUUUUAUUUUUUUGGAUUUAUGGGUUGGAUGACUUUUUGGUGGUAAUAGGUGUCUUCCUCUACUCGUAUUUGGCUGUCGAUUUUUUUCUACACUUUUAGGUGUAUUUUGUGCAAGAAAUUGCAAUAAAAUAGUCCGCCUAAGAAAAAUUGAAUUUUUUUGGGAACUUUUUUAUUUUUUUGGAUUUAUGAGUUGGAUGACUUUUUGGUGGUAAUAGGUGUCUUCCUCUACUCGGAUUUGGCUGUCGAUUUUUUUCUACACUUUUAGGUGUAUUUUGUGCAAGAAAUUGCAAUAAAAUAAUCCGCCUAAGUAAAAUUGAAUUUUUUUUGGGAACUUUUUUAUUUUUUUGGAUUUAUGGGUUGGAUGACUUUUUGGUGGUAAUAGGUGUCUUCCUCUACUCGGAUUUGGCUGUCGAUUUUUUUCUACACUUUUAGGUGUAUUUUGUGCAAGAAAUUACAAUAAAAUAGUCCGCCUAAGAAAAAUUGAAUUUUUUUGGGAACUUUUUUAUUUUUUUGGAUUUAUGGGUUGGAUGACUUUUUGGUGGUAAUAGGUGUCUUCCUCUACUCGGAUUUGGCUGUCGAUUUUUUUCUACACUUUUAGGUGUAUUUUGUGCAAGAAAUUGCAAUAAAAUAGUCCGCCUAAGAAAAAUUGAAUUUUUUUGGGAACUUUUUUAUUUUUUUGGAUUUAUGGGUUGGAUGACUUUUUGGUGGUAAUAGGUGUCUUCCUCUACUCGGAUUUGGCUGUCGAUUUUUUUCUACACUUUUAGGUGUAUUUUGUGCAAGAAAUUGCAAUAAAAUAGUCCGCCUAAGAAAAAUUGAAUUUUUUUGGGAACUUUUUUAUUUUUUUGGAUUUAUGGGUUGGAUGUCUUUUUGGUGGUAAUAGGUGUCUUCCUCUACUCGGAUUUGGCUGUCGAUUUUUUUCUACACUUUUAGGUGUAUUUUGUGCAAGAAAUUGCAAUAAAAUAGUCCGCCUAAGAAAAAUUGAAUUUUUUUGGGAACUUUUUUAUUUUUUUGGAUUUAUGGGUUGGAUGACUUUUUGGUGGUAAUAGGUGUCUUCCUCUACUCGGAUUUGGCUGUCGAUUUUUUUCUACACUUUUAGGUGUAUUUUGUGCAAGAAAUUGCAAUAAAAUAGUCCGCCUAAGAAAAAUUGAAUUUUUUUGGGAACUUUUUUAUUUUUUUGGAUUUAUGGGUUGGAUGACUUUUUGGUGGUAAUAGGUGUCUUCCUCUACUCGGAUUUGGCUGUCGAUUUUUUUCUACACUUUUAG